rnacentral:rRNA from 1 species
AGCGAACGCUGGCGGCAGGCCUAACACAUGCAGGUCGAACGAACCUUUCGGGGUUAGUGGCGGACGGGUGAGUAACACGUGGGAACGUGCCUUUAGGUUCGGAAUAACUCAGGGAAACUUGUGCUAAUACCGAAUGUGCCCUUCGGGGGAAAGAUUAAUCGCCUUUAGAGCGGCCCGCGUCUGAUUAGCUAGUUGGUUGAGGUAAUGGCUCACCAAGGCGACGAUCAGUAGCUGGUCUGAGAGGAUGAUCAGCCACAUUGGGACUGAGACACGGCCCAAACUCCUACGGGAGGCAGCAGUGGGGAAUCUUGCGCAAUGGGCGAAAGCCUGACGCAGCCAUGCCGCGUGAAUGAUGAAGGUCUUAGGAUUGUAAAAUUCUUUCACCGGGGACGAUAAUGACGGUACCCGGAGAAGAAGCCCCGGCUAACUUCGUG